AAACCAUCUUGAGGACACUUCCUCAAGAGAUCCUUGAACCAUUCCCAUGUCUCAGACAAUGACUCUAGCUCCAUUUGAAUGGAUAAAGAGAUCUCAUUUCGAAGCUU